GACAGAGGGUGCGAACGUUGCUCGGAAUCAUUGGGCGUAAAGCGCGUGUAGGCGGCAUGGCACGUCGGGUGUGAAAGCCCGGGGCUCAACCCCGGCAGUGCACCCGAAACGACGAUGCUAGAGUGCUGGAGAGGCGGGUGGAAUUCCUGGUGUAGCGGUGGAAUGCGCAGAUAUCAGGAGGAACACCGGUGGCGAAGGCGGGUCUCUGGGCAGUAACUGACGCUGAGGAGCGAAAGCUAGGGAGCAAACGG
rnacentral:rRNA from 1 species